GCUUGUCUCAAAGAUUAAGCCAUGCAUGUCUAAGUAUAAAUAGUAUACAUUGAAACUGCGAAUGGCUUAUUAAAACAGUUAUAGUUUAUUUGAUAAUUGAAUUAUACAUGGAUAACCGUGGUAAUUCUAGAGAUAAUACAUGCAGUAAAACCUGAUAUUAGGGUUGUAUUUAUUAGAUAUCAAACCAAUAUUCCAUAUUUGGUCUAUUGUGAUGAUUCAUAAUAACUGAUCGAAGCUUAGCUAGGCUAAGCUAAAUCAUUCAAGUUUCUGCCCUAUCAGCUUUCGAUGGGAGUGUAUUGGACUCCCAUGGCAGUCACGGGUAACGGGGAAUUAGGGUUCGAUUCCGAAGAGGGAGCCUGAGAAACGGCUACCACAUCUAAGGAAGGCAGCAGG
rnacentral:rRNA from 1 species